UACAGAGGGGGCAAGCGUUGUUCGGACUUACUGGGCGUAAAGGGCGCGUAGGCGGCCUUCUAAGUCGCACGUGAAAUCCCUGGGCUCAACCCAGGAACUGCGUCCGAUACUGGAAGGCUUGAAUCCGGGAGAGGGAUGCGGAAUUCCAGGUGUAGCGGUGAAAUGCGUAGAUAUCUGGAGGAACACCGGUGGCGAAGGCGGCAUCCUGGACCGGUAUUGACGCUGAGGCGCGAAAGCCAGGGGAGCAAACGGG
rnacentral:rRNA from 1 species